UACCAACAUCGAUGAACAGCACUGGGCAGACAUUAUUGACAUAAAUCAUAGAAUCGAUGAUUGUUAUUAUGGAUAGUAAAUUAAAAAUAAACCUGAAAGAAAUCAACAUUUUGUAUUACUGGUGAGUUUUGACAUUUAUGCAUGGAUGACUAACACAAUCCUGAACAUCAUUUAGAGGCAACCCAUGACUAAAGACAUAUCGUUGUAUAUUGUGUGAGUAAAUUGAAACUAUGAUAGUAUGGGUAUUCUUAAAUUCCAAUCAAAUUGACUUGAUGGCACAAGUUUUUCCCUUUGGUCACCCUACAACUCAAGUUCAAAGUUGACAUAGACUGUAAAAUGUCAGGAAAGGUCUAGUCUGUUUUUACUAUAUUUACUUCCGUCUAUGCCUUUCUGCAAUGAUAAAGACCAAAUUUAAGCAAGUCUAGAUUAACUUAGAUUCAGGAAUCUGCAUCUCACUGGAGCUCCUUUCAGUUUAAAAGGAAUUGUUUGAUUCUAUCAAAAUUAUAUAUAUUCAGAGACUCAGAAGUGCUAGUCUCAGAUGGUCCUGUUAGACGUGGAAAUCCUAUCCAAUCCAGUUUAUGCCCGACAACUAUGAACGGACCAAGACACGCUUGAGCUUGGCAGAGGAGAAGUGUGAUCUUGAAACUGCAGAAUCAGAGGGAUUCAGAUGUAGUAUCUGUGAGAAGGUACUAAAAUGUAAAGGUGGAUAUACUGUUCAUCAGCAGAUGACUUGAAGUCAAAAGAAACGAGGGGACCAUUCAGGCAUUUCUACAGAUUUCCAAGCAUGAAUGCUCAUGUGUUCAGCUGAGAACAAAAAUGAUGAACAAGCAGAAAAUACAGCAGCAAAGGACAAGGAAGAGAUGACACACAUUUUAAGAAUAAGAUUAACUUAAAACAUAUUCAGAUCAUUUCUAAGGGAUGUUACAUUUGGGAAUUCACUUUCCCCGUAAAGUACAGAUACUAGGACUAUGCUGGUAGAGGGUGGAGUGAAUCCCUUGUGUGAUUUGAACCUACCCUCUCAGAGUGAAACACCAUAUCACAGAACAACAUAGUGAGCAAUUUAACCUGACAAAUGUUAGUCAAGGUCUCGAUCACUGAAGUGUAAAUGCCACAAUUUGCAAAGUUAUGCAAAUAAGAAUGUCAAAACUAUUUGGUUUAAUAAAUAGUAACUAUUAAA